GGGGCUGUAGCUCAGUGGUAGAGUGCAUGCCUUGCAUGUGUGAGGUACUGGGUUCAAUCCUUAGCACCA
rnacentral:tRNA from 1 species